CCAUAGGCAGGAUGGAAAAGUACUGACUAACAAUCAUCUUACGGUCCUAUAAAUAGUAGUCUGAAGCAAAGAGCCCCUUGAGAUCUCCAGGAACCACAGCAGGCUGCACCCUCGAUCUCCCCCUGAGCGGGGAUGCCUCUCAGGGUACCCCUGAGGGGAUGUGCAUCUCAAGGUUGACUCCUUGAGGAACAAGCUUGUCCAUGGACAAAUGCUGAUGAGUGUGCAGGUCAAACUGUGCAGUUCUGCGGACUUCACCUUCACAUGAAUCUUUCAUUCUUCCCAGCCAAUUUCGAAGACUGUGAUAGCACCUGCCGUUUGAAAUCUAUAACAGCUCGAUACAUUCUGUUGCAGAGAUACCAGCAGAAACAACAGGAAUAUCACUUGGAACUGAACAUCAGUUUGGUACAAUUUGGUGUGGCUGGAUACUAGAGAUACCUGGAAAAAAUGGCACUAUAGUGACAUGUCAAGGUUUUGAAACUUUUCUGUCACCAGUGGAAUAAAAAUAUAAAUAUAGUUUCAUGAAAUGGGAUAAUGUGAAAUACUAGAAUAUUAACUGUCCCCACCCCCAAGCUUUUUGUCUUUUGUACUGUGAGCUUGAAAAGCUGUCCUACUGUCACUUAUACAUAUUUUUGGAGAAGUUUGACUGAAAGGUUUCCAGCACCUAUACUAGAGAAUUAGAUUCUCUAUACUAGAUUAAGUGUAAGGUGUUAUCUGUUUGUAGGAAAUUGCAAUCGAUCACUGCAGCUUCAGCUGGACAAAUUCAUGGUGGUGCCUCUCUCUGAACUUUAUGGCAAAAUGACAAGGUGGAGUUAGAAUGAUAUUGAGAUGGUGGCUGUUAGCUGGCUGUUACCAGGUUUCCUGUACAUAGGUUUUUCCUCUACAGCUUUCUUCAAUAUUUGCUUUUCUAAGCUUUUUCAUCAUGCCAAAGACUUUGCAGCCAUUUUUUGAAACCUGCAUUUUGAAGAAUCUGUCAAGGCACACGAGGGCAUAUUGCUUGCACAUUGCUUCCUUUCUGUAACUGCUGAAAAAUGUCUUUAUGCAUGUAAUCACAUUUUAGACAAGUUUGUUUUAAGAGGGUGCCAUAGGCAUUUACAGGCAAUUUCUCUCACAUCUCCAAACUGCAAAUAACAAGGAGUAUAAUAGAACUGGAGAAUCAUCUAGUAUAAAGCUUAAAAAUAGUUUUGGUCUUGUAGCUUAAAAAAUAAAAGGAAACAUAGAAAAUGGUAGGAUUAAAUGAAGACAAUAUAGACAGGCAUUGGGGUGUCACAGCUUGGACUGAUGAAGUGACAUGAAACUUCCAAGCUGUUUAGUUUUCCUUUUUUUGUACUCAGAUCUUUGUUACACUCCAACUUACUUUCCACUGUCACUGCUUUUGCACAGGCUGAGCAUUUGAACUGUGUCCAAGAUCGCAAAGCACAGUUAGGACUAUGACAGUGAAUAAAAGGCCUUUGCCCCCCUCCCCCUGAGACAAGCUUCCCUUGAGAAACUGGCAGGAUGUUAACGUGAAAACAUCUUAUUUGGAAUUAAAGAACAGAAUUUAUUCAGAAAGUUGAUAAUGUUUUCUGGUGGAAGAGGGAAGGUUUCUUGCAUUUACCUGCUUAAAAAAAAACACAUGCACAUACCCCCAAAACCAAAUCAAACUAAGCAACCAAACACAAAUAUACAGUUCAAUGCUUUGACUGCUUUCCAUUGCUUUCUUGUGGUUGUUUCUUAUUAUGCCCCUCAUUAGGGAGAAGUGACCAUUUAUUGGUUGUAAUCAUGCAAGUGAACACUCAAAAGAAUUUUAUGUAUGAGAACACUGGUUGUGGUUUUGUGCUCUUUUGUUUGUUUGCUUGUUUGUUUUAUAUUGAGAAGUGUUUUGACCUCUCCUUUCCUAUCUCAGAAAUCUGCAGAAUAGCUGUUUGCAAAUCUAUACCAGCAACAAGAAGAAAGAAGAGCUGUGUAAAUGAGCAUGACAGUGACAUAUUGCAAUGAGUUUCUCAAGUAAUUAAACUGUCUGUAAGAAAGUGAAAUUUCCUGGGUACUUCAGAAUAAUUUAGUGUUAAUGGUAACAUUCUGUUAAAACCAUUUUCUUACCAAGCUAUCAUUACUAGACCUGUUGCUGAAAAAUCUAGUGAAUUUGAAUUUGGUGAAAUUUCACCCCCACCCCUACUCCAUCUCAUCCCACCCUGCCUUCUCCCCGCCGCAAAAAAAAAAAAAAAAGGAAAAAAGGAAAGUUGGAAAUAAAAGAUAUAAAAGAUCACCUUCCAUGUUGCCUUAAGCUAUUUUUUUUUUGUUAAUAAUAAUAUCUCAUUUGACACUGCACUGAAUCUGUUCUGAUUAUUUAAUAUAGUUAAUAUUUACUGAUAUGUUCGAGCAUCAUCUGGAUAAAUUGAGUGGUUUAGAGUCAACAACCACUGCCUGUUCACUGUUUCUCCUCCUUAGAAAUUAUUCAAAAUUAGGUCAGGAGAAGGUAAAUGUGGAAAGAAGGAAGAGAAAGUCUCUGGAUGCAGAGAUUUUAUUUGUGACAGGAAAUCCUUGUCUUGUCUUCUUACAGUCAAGCCAAACUGUUAGGCCUUGUUAAUCUUCAGAGCUGUUUAGUGUGCAUGGUAAUUUUAUCAAAGUCCUCAAUAGUUUGGUGUAAUAAUGCUGACAUGAUAAAACACACUGCUGAUUUACUUAAACAACUGCCUUUUUUCAUAUCUGUAGAGAUAAAUUCUCAGCAGACACAGGACUGGAGAAACAUAAAGCUUUUGGAACAUGCCUGGGAGGAGGACAUUUUUGGAAGAGUGUUUUGGAAUGAAAAGCAACAAAUAAAAGUGGGAAAUCAGAGUAAACCUUUAUGUCAAUCACUUCAAGAUUUUAUUUUAUUUUUUCCUAGUCUUGGACUGUGAUGAGUUUUGUUUAGAGAGAGGUUGAUAAACUCCCUACUCUUUUUCUCCAUUUAUUUGAUGUUCCAUCAAGAUAAUUUGACAUCUUGUACUCAGACAUUGAUCUUCCAGACAUUUAAACUGUUUGGUGUUUUGCACCAGGACAUACUUGUCUGUUAUGACCUCAGUAAGAAAGUAGGUAAAGAUUCAUCUAAAGUUAUAUUUAUUAUAGCUAACACUGUAAACAGCGAAUAAUAUAUAUAACCUUGUGCCCCUUUUGGAAAUCCAAGAAUUGUAGCAUUGAACAGGACACUGACCUCCACACAGCUCAACAUGGAGGCCCCCUUGACAGCAGAGAUUCUCCCAUUUUGGUAAUUCAAGCUAUUAUAAGAUUUUCCUAUAUGGAAAUAGCUCUAUUUAUCAUGUCUACAGUCAAACAGUAAUGACGCUAUCAUGAGAACUACCUGCACUAUUCAGUAAACGCAAGGCCACAUAGGUAGUGUAAUAGCCAGUACUGAGUGGGAGCUGUCUGCUGGCUCCUCUGCUAAAGUGAGAAGGGUGAGUUAUCUUGCAGCCAAGGAAUUUGGGAAGUACAGCCUGCACAGCAUGGGUCUUGGACUGCUUGAUAAAAUUCCUAUAUGGAUCACUAACACAUCACUGUACAAUGGUUUUCUGGUCAGGAUCACUAGAUUUGGCUCACAAAUUUACUGCUGUCAGUCAAGCUAUUGGUUUUGUUAGACCAGUCGUCCAUAAGAUUGUGGUUCUAGCUAGGAUCUUCCCAAGGACAUAUGGUUCUGAAAAUUUUGGGGCAGUAGACUAUCAGCGAAGACAUCACUGAGCCUAUCAGUGGACUUCAUUACCCAUAGGACAACAUCAGUGCUUCAUGAUCCUUUAAAAAGAGAUACAAUCUUUUGUUAACAGUCUAAAACAGAACUCAUAAACAAACCAAACAGCUGAACUAAGUCAAGAAGCGUUCCUUUGAAGGUGGACUGUGGGGGGAAAAAGAAAGAAAAAAAAGGCACAGGAUAGCUAAGCCUAGAAGAAAAUUGUGCUGAGAACUCCAACGUAGUUUUAAAAUUACUGACAGAGUGAGAAUAUGUCUGGUUAUUAUUUCACGUGAGGUUUGUGGAGGGAAUCUCAGCUGCAUGGAAAACAUCUGCAGAGCAAUUGUAUGCCAGAUGAGAAAAUCUAAUAAAAUAUCACAUGGUCAAUGUA